CUAUCUCCCCGGCCAUUAGCUGACCAGCGACCUGUCUUUAAAGUUUAAUUCCAUCACAAUCAAAUGAAAGCUAACGCUAAUUCUCCGAAGGAAGAUGACGAGAAUUUUCAGCUACCUUGGAAGCACUUGAUACAAUAAUUCCUCACUACGACGCUUCUCCAUACUUAAUUGCUCGGUCUUCUCCUCAACGAGAGCUUCCAGAUUGUUGGCGUAUUGCUCCAUCCGCCGUAGCAAAUCGUCCAUUAAAUUCUCGCAAUAUCCCCUGAAACGCGGAUACAUGAUCUCUGUGACAGCAGUUUCAAUUGUAAAGUUUUAUGAGAGAGUUGAAUUUCAAAAUAUACUUCAUGAUUCCUCGUAUCGUGCCGCGAAUUGUGUGGAAACUGGGUCGUUCGUCAGGUACUUCGUGCCAGCAUUUCUCCAUCAGCGACAGUAUAUCCGGUGGACAGUCCUUCGGAGCGACUUCCGGCCUGAACGGAGGAUUCUCUGACGCCGACACUCUGCUCAUAAUCUUCGAAAUAAAUAAUGGAAACGAUAAUGAGAAGAUAUAAUGAAGAUAGACAGAGGAUGAUGAUACCAACUGUACCUCUUGCGGCGUCAUAAACGUCCUGGCUACUUCAUAAGGACCGCCCCGAACCACUAUCUCCUCCAAGAUAAUCGCGAAGCUGUAAACAUCGCCCUUCUGCGUGGCGGCACUCCCGGGGGUCACCGUUAACAGCAGCAGUUCCGGAGCGAUCCAAAGUAAUUCUGCAAAUGAAGAUAGAACAACGACACAUUUCCCCUUGCGCUAUAAAAACCGUAUUUAUACGCCACAUCGUACUUUUUUUAAUAACAGGCAUGACUCACUGGUAUAAUAAGUCUCGUCCAUAAUUAAAUCGGAGGGCGUGGUGAGAGUUUUAAGUCCAAAGUCUGAGAUUUUCAGGACAAAACGACCGUCAAUCAGACAAUUGCACGACCGUAACUUUCCGUGGGCCGAAACUUCGCUGGCAUGAAGAUAGGACAUUCCCUGCAAGAGGGACGUCCUUCAACGAUCCUCGAGGACAAUAUUCUGUGAGAAUCAAGACGGUCGGUGAUGGCGAGCAGAGACAAGCUCCGAUAAAUCUGACGGACAAUUUAAAUUAAAGAAAUAAAAUAUAAAGGCGAAGAUCUUCUAUUGAGAGAUGAAUACCUCACAGUAUUUUCCGACGUGACAUCGCGGACCUGCUUAAUUUCCCAAAGUAAUUUCUUCGUGACGUCGACUACUUUCUUCUUCGUGAUUUUCUUGAUAGCCACCCUCUCGCCCUUGUAUAUCCCGAUGGUGGUGAAGACUCUCGCGGGCGGCAAAGAUUCACAACUGAUCUGCGAUCCUCGACGUAUCUUCGGUUCCAAUCCGAAAUUCUAAAAAUUAUAUGUUCAAUCUAUCGCUGCACGUUUCAUCGCGCAUAUUUAUAAUUUAUUCACUUACAUUCGUAUCGGACAUGGCUUGGUGCAGAUUUAUCUUCGAGGAAAACUGUUUUCCAACCUCGAGAAGCAAUUCCUCGGGUCUUACACGCCAAGACAUGUUAUUCAAGUCGGCGGACAACCCGAGCAGAAAUACGGCGAGGGCUAUGCCGGUAUAAGCUAUGAAGGUGUAAAAGUGUUCUGUCCUCGAUGUGCAAACCGGAUCAUUCCCUAAGAAGCCGCACUCUGGAAUAUCCGGCGGUGGUCCUUCUCUUCCUCCUGGCCAAUGGAUUCUUUUACCGGACAUAGAAUUAUAUUCUCGAUUUAAUCCCGAAUAAUGAGCAACUACUUCGAACCUAGAAGAUUACGAAUUCAAGGAAGACAUUCUGUAAGACAAGCGCGAUUACACUCACUUCUGGCGUACAUGCUCGCAUCUCGAAGAUAAUAGUGAUACGACUCGUCCUCGGAGUUGCCGUCCAAGUCUCUCACAAACUUCAAGAGCCCUUCCUUACGUAGACCGUACUCCAAAUUCUUUCCUACCGUCAGCGAAAACAAGUCCGAUCUAUCCAAUAUCAGCGCGACGUGAGACCAUCCGAACUCUUUGAACACGCUAGAGAAGACGAGCCGCAAUCGACAUUGGCAGUACGACAUUCUCGUUAAAGUGGGAUACUUGCUUUUGUCUUUGAAAAUCCCCUUCAAGAAAAAGAUAUAUACAAUUGGCAGAUAUUAUAUAAUAGUAAUUAUCACGAGAAAAAAUGUGAUACACGAAGAGAGAACACGUCGCUGCCAUAAUUCCAAGCUUAACGAGUUUUCACGAGGAAAAGGUAACAUUACGUACGAGUGCGACUAUUUCUUUCAACUGCACGUUGUGAACGCUCAGGAAAUCGUUCACUUCCGCCAGAGCCAGAUCGACCGCUGGACCGCAUCGCUCGAGAUCAAACGGACUGUCGAGAUGGGACGCCAUAAGGACGCCUACAUUGUAUACCCGCAGAGAAUUUCCGUAAUCCACUGUGUGCAGUCAGGAAGGAUCAAAGACACCAGAAGAUCGAAACCUUCCCUUUCAAUCAAAAGCGAAAUUCUUUUCAAUCCUGCCUACAAGGAGCAACAUCGAAGAAACACCGUCAACGUGUGAAAGAGGAUCGAUCCGCCAAUUGUCGCGAAUAAACACGCGGAAUCUGAGCACAGCUCGCAUUUCGAUCUCAGAUAUAGUGACAUAUCGCACAAUCGUGGCGUGCCUCCGUUAUCAGCCAAUGAAUGAGAAAAUCAAACAGAUGCGACCAAUCAAGAAUGUUGUUUGUCGCAAAAGCCUGCUCGAUAUAUGGUGAAUCGCGUGACAUAUGUCAUCAUUCACGUGUGGACUUCCUACGCAGAUAUGUCACGGUCCUUCGAGACCACGCUUGCGAAAAUAACUUAUAAAUAUAUUUAUAUAAAUAUUUACUCUCUCUAAAGCAAAUGAUUUUAUCUAAUAAAAUAAAGCGUAGUAAACAAUCAUAAUUGCGAUCAAUAUUUUAU